rnacentral:misc_RNA from 1 species
GAUGAAGAACGCAGCGAAAUGCGAUAAGUAGUGUGAAUUGCAGAAUUCAGUGAAUCAUCGAAUCUUUGAACGCACAUUGCGCCCUUUGGUAUCCCUUAGGGCAUGCCUGUUCGAGCGUCAUUUGAAACCUCAAGCUCAGCUUGGUGUUGGGUGUCUGUCCCCGCCUCCGCGGGGACUCGCCUCAAAAUCAUUGGCGGCCGGUACGUUGGCUUCGAGCGCAGCAGAAACGCGAACUCGAGGCCCGGCGGAUCGGCGACCAGAAGUCUCUUCUUCACAGUUUGACCUCGGAUCAGGUAGGGAUACCCGCUGAACUUAAGCAUAUCAAUAAGCGGAGGA